GAUGAACGCUAGCGGCAGGCUUAAUACAUGCAAGUCGAGGGGCAGCAUGAUUGUAGCAAUACAAUUGAUGGCGACCGGCAAACGGGUGCGGAACACGUACACAACCUCCCAAUAAGUGGGGAAUAGCCCAGAGAAAUUUGGAUUAAUACCCCGUAACAUAACGAUGUGGCAUCACAUUGGUAUUAUAGAUUUUUCGCUUAUUGAUGGGUGUGCGGCUGAUUAGAUAGUUGGCGGGGUAACGGCCCACCAAGUCUACGAUCAGUAGCUGAUGUGAGAGCAUGAUCAGCCACACGGGCACUGAGACACGGGCCCGACUCCUACGGGAGGCAGCAGUAAGGAAUAUUGGACAAUGGACGCAAGUCUGAUCCAGCCAUGCCGCGUGAAGGAUUAAGGUCCUCUGGAUUGUAAACUUCUUUUAUAAGGGACGAAAAAAGGCUUUUCUAAGUCGUCUGACGGUACCUUAUGAAUAAGCACCGGCUAACUCCGUGCCAGCAGCCGCCGUAAUAC
rnacentral:rRNA from 1 species